rnacentral:rRNA from 1 species
GCGAAAACUUUACAAUGCUGGCAACAGCGAUAAGGGAACCUCGAGUGCCAGGUUACAAAUCUGGCUGUCGAGAUGCCUAAAAAGCAUUUCAUAGCAAGGGCCGGGCAAGACCGGUGCCAGCCGCCGCGGUAACACCGGCGGCUCGAGUGGUAACCGCUAUUAUUGGGUCUAAAGGGUCUGUAGCCGGCCGGAUAAGUCUCUUGAGAAAUCUGGCAGCUUAACUGUCAGGCUUUCAGGAGAUACUGUCUGGCUGGAGGCCGGGAGAGGUGAGAGGUACUUCAGGGGUAGGGGUGAAAUCUUGUAAUCCUUGAAGGACCACCAGUGGCGAAGGCGUCUCACCAGAACGGACCUGACGGCAAGGGACGAGAGCUAGUGGCACGAACC